UUAAUAGAAGCCAAAAAAAGAGGCUAUUCACUGUUAAUGAAUUAAUUGUUUUAACCUAUUAAA
rnacentral:tRNA from 1 species